rnacentral:rRNA from 1 species
AUGUGCAUCCCAAAGAAAGACGGAGGUAUGGGCUUUCGUGAUAUGCACUCUUUCAAUUUAGCUAUGUUGGCGAAGCAAUCUUGGAGACUGAUUUCAAAUCCAGAUUCUCUAUGUGCCAGAGUUCUUAAAGCUAAAUAUUACCCAAAUUGUCACUUGUUGAAGGCGGGUCCGAAGAAGGGGUCAUCUUUUACCUGGCAAAGCAUAGUAGCAGGUCUACGUACCUUCUGUAGAGGACACAUUUGGAGAGUGGGUUCAGGGGAGACGACCAACAUCUGGGAGGAUCACUGGAUUCCAGGUAGCAUAAAUCGCAUGAUACAGACUCCCAAGGGACAAAUAUUAUUGCAAAAAGUUAAUGAGCUCAUUGAUCCAACGACUGGCAAAUGGGAUGAGUGUUUAAUCCGUGAUAUUUUUUACCCUAUAGAUGUGGACAGAAUCUUGCCGAUUCCAUUAAGCGAACACCAAGAAGAAGAUUUUGUGGCUUGGAAUUAUACAAAAUCUUAUUCAUUCUCCGUCCGAUCCGCGUAUUAUAUUGAAUGGGAUCGCUCUCAUCGUCACAGGUUGACGCGAGCGGAUGGACAAGGGACAUCAGGUCGGAAUCCGGUAUGGGACAUUCUAUGGAAACUGAGGGUUCCGAGCAAAGUGAAAAUAUUCGCGUGGAAGGCCUUGCAUGGGAUUCUCCCAGGUUUGGCUGUACUGGCAAACAGGCAUAUUCCGACUACGGGCCAAUGCCCGAUAUGUACAAAGGGUGCGGAGGACAUCAAGCAUCUGAUGUUUACUUGCUAUCGAGCAAAGCAGGUAUGGCGAGCCUUGGGCAUUUUGGACAUAAUU